AGAAAGGCAGCUGAGUUAGAACUUAACAGCGUCAGUCCUUCACCCGACACGGUCAAAGAGG
rnacentral:ncRNA from 1 species